AGGCAAAGUAUCACCGCUCCGUAUUUUAAACUGCUAACUACACACCUAUACUUCAGGAACUAUUACUACUAUGUGGAUGUAAGCAAAGUGUUCUCAUUCCCUCUUGGAUGUGUGCAGCCAGUGAGGUACGUUUUGUUUAAGGGCUUGUUAUAUCUGCUCGACGGCACGGACAGCUAACUGGGAUAGCGAGUGGAGCUAGCGGCUGCCGGAUGGAGCAGCCAGUCAGCCAGCUUGCUAACUACACACCGGUGCUUACGUCCACAUGUACUCAACGAAGUGGAAACGCCUUUGACGAUGGCCCGUGCAAAGUCAUGCCACCAGUCUGAGGACAUCACUGGGAAUGGCACAUGGGACACGUGGCUUUCAACUCCAGCGAGACCCAAGUCGACUGGACCACAGCGGAAAAUGAUCCUUCCAGAGAAGAAGUUAUUUACUUCUACAACGAAUGGAAGAGUUACAACUUCCAGAUGACAGCUCGCCGCUCAUCCUUCUGGGCAACUUGAACAUCCGACAGAACUUAUGUGACCUACUGCGUUUAUUUUCUCCUUUAGCUCUCACUAACUCUAACUUGCCCCAGCACCUGUUGUGAUUUAUUCUAGCGCUUCCACAAUUGAAUUUUGCUUGGUAUUUCAUCUAACUUGCCCCAGCACCUGUUGUGAUUUAUUCUAGCGCUUCCACAAUUGAAUUUUGCUUGUUAUUUUAUCUAACUUGCCCCAGCACCUGUUGUGAUUAAUUCUCUCUCACGGUGUCAAGUGUGUACCUUGAUCUUUUUUUUGCUCAUUGCAGCCCUUCUCUGCAAGGAGUGCUAACAAUGCAUGGUGCUGUUCAUUAAGCAACUGGGUAAAGAGCUUGUAAUGCCACAUAUGAAAAAGCUCAUAAGCUCAUUUAUAAUAAAAUAAUAUAUAUAAUCUUG